rnacentral:lncRNA from 1 species
AGACUGACUUUAAAAUCCAGCCUUUGAAUCAACAUGUUUUGUAGUGUUGAAGAAUUGAAAUAUGAUACUAUGAAUGCUUUCUCCUGAGAAUUUUCUCCAGUGUGGAUGAAAUAGUCCCACUAAAUUUGUAUUAUUAACAAGGCAUAGGAGUGACUGAAUUUCAAGGAUCCUUCCUUUCAGGGGAAAUGAUCACUUUCCUCUGAGAAUCUGGAAUGAAGAGGCCAGUUACAUGUUCUGAAUAAAGGCUUUCUGGGUCCUUUCAGGACUAGGGGGGGUUGGCUGUGGUGAAAAGGUUUUUGAGAGACAUCUUCCUUUUUUUAGGAUGUCCCUCCCUAUUUCUAGCCAAAAACCCUUUUGAUGGACUUUACCACUAGUUCAGGAGUGCAAUGCGAGCACUGCAAGCAUUGACUAUUGAGUGUGAAGAUUAAAAGUGAGAACUUAACUUCUGUUUACCACCAAAUGUGUUGGCAGGGAAAAUCCUUGGCUCGAAGAGUUGUGCAUACGUUGGGGCCUGAGAUGAUACCCAGAGGAAAACUGCCUGAAAUCCUCAGGGACCAGGCUGCACAGAGGGAAUUUCGUCAUGAUUCUGGCUGCACAGGAAGAAAAUGUGGGACAUCGCACAUUGAGUCCUGCGCACCUCUACUCAUGAGUGACCCACACCACUUCUCCCAUUUCAGUGCUCCAAGCAAAACCACGUGGCCCUACCUCAGUCAAGGAGGCAGGAAGUGGGAUCUUCACAAAAGUCCAGGAAGGGAAGAGAAGAGAAAACCUCAGUGAGCACUAAUAACCUCAUCCACCCCUGUAGGUACUGAAGAAAGAGGCUCAGAAAAGCUCACUCAGCCCAAUUUCAAAUGGUCACUUAUGCUGCUCCUUAUUUCUUUUUAAAAAAUAUUUUAUUUAUUUAUUCAUGAGAGACACAGGAAAAGGCAGAGACACAGGCUGAGGGAGAAGCAGACUCCCUCUGGGGAGUCUGAUGUGGGACUCCAUCCUGGGACCUGGGGAUCACAACCUGACCCAAAAAGCAGACACUCAACCACCAAGGUGUCCCACUGCUUCUUAUUUCUAUCAUUAGUUUUUCAAAGUGUAGAAACUUGAGUGUCUUGGACCCUAAGAUCCCUGUUGCUUUCUAUCCACCCAGUACCUUCUUUCUAUAUUAGACCCUCUUAUUUCAACUCCUGAUGGCUCUGGUGGGAUUGUGUGUCAUGAGUCCUUGCCUUUGCCUUAUUUAAAUCAGGAUAGGUUCAGUUUCUAUAGGAUUAGGACCUGAUAGGAAAGGGCUUCAGCUGACAAGAGCCACUUUCUCAAUUCCCCUCUGAGGUAAGGAAGCAUGAAGACAAGAGGUGACAGGAAGCAAUGUUAAAUUAGACUCACACACACACAUGCACAGACGCAUGCACAGUGGGUGUGGAGGGUGUACUUUGCUGAUAUAGUUGGGACCCUGGAUCCAAAUACAUCUGAUGCCACCUACCCUUGGCCUUCAGAGUUACAAACCAAAUAAAGCCCCAGUCCAUACUGGUUUCCCUGGGUCUGGGUUUGAGUUGAAUUUCCUUCACACACAAACAAACAAAUCCUCAUCAUGUCUUCAGAUAUACAAAUUUUUCCAAAUAGUCUUCUGGAGAACUGCAUCCCUGAAACCUGGCUGGAGGAGCAAGCAGGUGCACAGUUGUAACUAUGAGAGAGAAGCUUGGCCCUUCUCCAGAUGAAGAGAGACAUGUAAGAAUGGACACCAUGUCCAGAUCUUUGGCUAAGGGCUGGGAUAGGGUUAGGAGUAGGAACACUAGAUGUCAUGGUUUGCCAGAGAGCCUGAAGCCAUUUAGGGAGAGAAGGCUGGCAGGAUGCACCCGACGUCUCAAGUCUGAGCAGUUAUAGACAACUUCAGAAACUUGGAAUCGGAACGAUGAUUUUCUGUGUCAUCUCUGGCAUGAGGCAUAAUAUAGGAUAUUUCUCAUGGAACUGAGUCUAAACCGCACAUUAUCCGUCCUUUAGUUUUUAUUAUAAAUUUCCUAGUUAAAGUUUAAGAAACAAAAGAGGUCCUUUCUGAAGGUGAGUGUUAAGAUUGCAAGCAUACUCAGCUUCCAGACCUUCUGGAUGCUUGGGCAGAGAAGUAGUCAGGUCUUAUCUGUAUGUGAACAGAACUCUUAAGGAGAAUAAGCCCAGCAGAAAGGAAAUGAGAAAAUGAACAGAUCUUUGGUAUUUAUCCUGCUCUAGGUCUCUGCUUUCUGCAUAUGUAAUAUGUUUAAUCCUGUAAGAUCCCGAAAGGAAGUUUACUUUUAAAAUGAGGAGAUGUAGUCUAAGAGAGCUAGCAUGCCGCAAAGUGUGAUGGGAGCAGACUUUCUCUGAUUCCAACACCCUUGGACUUUUCAGAGAACAAUGAUGGUUGGGGUAAAGACACCCUCCCUUUCCCCACUCUGACCCACACUCUUGUUUACACAGUUCUGUUAUACAAACUGAAACAUGAAAUAAAGCCUUUAAUUUGUCAUAAAAAACAAAACUCCUUUAGAUUUUGAAUGAGAGAAAGAGUCCAAAAAUCAGAAAGGUUUGUGUUCUUGGUGACAGACUUCAUAUAUUUCGUAACUUUGUGUCUGGUGGUGUCAAGUCAUGAGGUCGAGGGCCAGAUGCCAGCGUCCCUGAAGUAGGAGUAAAGUAUGAAUCAGCCUGGGAACUCCGCCGCAGCCCUGCUGGUAGGUAAACACUCAGCUGUAUACAAACGAGGGAACAGUGAUAAGGCUCUGUGCUUCCAGAAAAAAACAGUUUCCAUUUCAUUUUUACCUCUGUAAUAGAGAAUGAGGAGGAGAUAAUAGCAGAUAAAGCAAAAGGGUAAUAUAAUAGCAACAAAACCCACAGGCACAGAACAAUAUUUUGGAAAGCUAACAUUGGAGAAGGUGUUUCCUCUCUUGAAAUGCUCUGGAAUCAAGGGGGUGGAAAUGAAGGGUGGGCACUGAACUAGGCCUACUGGCUUUAUAAAUUUAUAAAAAAAAUUAAUGUGGUAGAUAAGUUUCAAGGACAGCAAGUUGAGUGGGAAGUCAUAUACAAUGGAGUACUACACAACAGUGAAAAUAAUGAACUGGAGUUGCAAGUAGCUACAUGGAUGAAUCUCAAAAACAUAAUGUUGAGUAUAAAGGUUACACAUUGUAUUAUAGUGUUUACAUAAACUUAAAAAAUAAAAAUAAGCAAACAAGUUAGUUUUAUAUGCUUUUUAAAGGUACGUGCACAUGUCAAACAUGGAUCGAUACCAAAUCCAGGAUUGCUGUUACCUCUGGGUGGGGAAGGGACCAGAUAUUUGGGAUGAUGAACAAUACAGGGAGUUCCCGCUGUGUUUGUUAUGUUCAUUGGUUAACUGAAGAGGGGACAAAUUGAUAUUUGCUGAACUUGUCUCUGCAUGUUUUUGAUGUCUGGAAUAUUCCCUAACAAAUAAGACAAAGGUGGAUAACAAAGAUUAUUUUAGCAUAGGAGAGUAAAGGGCAAGGGAUGGGUGGGGCUGAGGAAGGACUCUAAGAUUCCCUUAGAAUGGUCUGUCUAAAGUGUGGGGUUCUGCUGUACUACAUAUUUGGCUAAGAGUUAAAGACGGUGUAAAUAUGCCAUUUGGAAAUUGUUUUCGCUGAUGAAUCAAAUACUUCACAUGUCUUAACCUCUCACUUGAUGCAAAUAUGCCAGUCACACAGCAGAAAGAUCCCUUGUGGCUGACUCAUUAGGGGAACUUGAUCUGUUUUCUUUUCUAAGUCUUUUUAUCUUGGCCAAAUUAUAAAUAUUUUAAAUAUCAAAGAAGAAGAAGAACAAUGCCAUGUGCAGUCCUUUAAGGGAGAUAGCUAAUUCAACAAUAGAAGACAGUAUUCAGGAUGAAGAGAGUAUUGCAUUCAGUUGUAGCCAUCCUUGCAAACUGACAAAAGUAGAAACUUGCAUUAUUAUAACCUAAGAAAACAAAACUCCUUUUAUUUAUAUCUAUGGUUUGAUUUAUAUUUAUAUCAUAUCUAUAUGAUUUAUAUCUAUUGAUUAAAAUAUCAUAAUAACCUUUACUAUACAAGAGCUUUUAUAAAUCCAAAA